UAUACAUAACACCAAUUUUAGAGUUCAAAUCCUAUUUAUUGCCUUCAACUAAUUUCCUUCUAUAUUCCCAAAAAUAUUUUGAGGAAUAUUAUUGAUUUCCCUUCCUAUUUGAGUGCUCCCAAAUAAAUUCCCUCAAACUCCACCUUUAAAUAUUGCACUCAAAUAAAUUAAGAAAUCUCUUUUGUGAAUUCUUUCCGAAUUCAAAUUCUUUGCAAAACCUAGUUAUCCAAAUCAAGUAUUUAAAUUAGACUUCUUUCUUUUUUUCCAUCGGGCCGAAACUCCGUUCUUUCUUCCUAUUGGCCCAAUCCCUUUUUCUUUUUCUUCUAUUUUCCUCCUCCUUCUUGGGCUGCCGGCCCAGCUAAGCCGAGCCGGCCCAAAUCGGCCCAUAGCCAAGCCGCCCUCUUCCAGGUGUGCGUGUUGUACACGCGCACGGCGCACGCCGCCGCCAACGCCUUCCGUCGUCACGAAGUAACCGGCCGCCGUCAUCCUCCUCCCCACGCCACUGCCAUCGCCGUGUCUUCCUUGACUUCCUCCUCUACAACCGCCUCUCACCACCGCCCCUCUCCCUCUCCGCCAGCCACCGCCCUCCCCAGGUGCGUGAUGCUCGGGAACACCACCCGCCGCCGGCGUCGCCACCUUCCAGCCGCCGGAAAGACGGCGCCCCUCCUCUCCUUCUCCUCUGUUGCUCGGCUGGAAAGAGAAGAAACGAAGAGAACACGGGAAGAACAGAGGAAGAAGAAGACGAGAGAAGGAGAGAGAAAAAGAAAAGAAAAAGAAAAGGAAAUUGACAGUAGAGUUUAUUGUCUUUUGGAUGGCAACCUACGGUAUGUCGCGAGAAUCAGAUAAUCAGGUUGCCUAUCUUGGAUUUAUUUGCGUUGGAGCAAGGCAAGUUAUUAUUCCUCCCUUUUGAGCAUAAAUGCCCUAUAUUCUAUAUUCUAUUAUAUGCACUAGCCAUACAUGAUUUUGAAUGCAUAAUCUGAACAUAUAGCAAACCAGUUCUAUGCUAGCUUUUGCUUCGCCCUGCCUAGUUAGACUGUAUAAAAUAUAAUGAAUUUAGAUUGUGACAGUACAUAAGAUUUGGUUGAUUUCCAGGUGGCUAGUACUGUCUCAGUCGAUAUAAGUUUACCAAGUACUUAUGUCAAACGAAUGAGUACGACUGCAGCUUCUAGAAUGGGGACAGACCUAGAUAUUAUGUUAAUUAAUAAUGUGGUACCUCUGUAUAGUGGUUCUUAUGUAAGUCCUCGCGAAGGAGCAAACUUAUGCUGAGCAGGGCAAUUGUGAUAUUUACCGAGGCGCAGGUAAAUAUCUUGAUUAUCGUGCGAUGUGUGUGUGAUUUUAUGGAAAUCUGGUUGAGAUGACGUGGGGUCUCUCAUCCAGUUCUCUCUGAAAAACCUCGGGAACGCCAGAACUCCUCUCGCUGCUGAUAACGUUACGUUCAGAGCGUAUGGGACUAAAGUUCAUGGAACAGGUGCCACUAUUGUUAAUAACCUAAUACUGGGCCAUGACUAAGCUAAUGAUUAUUGGCAAGUUAUGGACAGCGGGUAAAGCGUACAUCUACUGGAGUAUGAAUAUCCUUGAAACUAUUCGAAUAGGCGUGCUCACGGAUUUGAGCAUCGGGACUCAUAUGGUACUUUGGUUAGAAAUAUAUUUCAAGAUUUUCUUAAAUGCUGUUGCAUAUCAAGCAUUUCAGGAUUUCUACCUCUUUAUUCUCAACCUUCUGCAAGUAAAUCUAGCUCUACACAGAUAUUACCUCUCAUGCAUUCAUUGUUGAAUAAUAUAAUAGCUUGCUGAGUACGUUGUACUCACCCUUACUUCAACCCCUCUUUUUCAAAGCCUAAUUGGAGUUUUUGCCGAAGCUAAGAGUUCAAUCACAUAAGUUAGUUCCCUUUAAACCUAGUCUUCAAGUCUAGUAUAGUUAGACGGUUUAAUUCUAUAGUAAAACGGUAGAGUUGGGUCAUCGUAUAGCUUCUGCUGUAGUAGUUAGCUACAAACUUGUAAAUGUCAUAUUAUUUUAUAUAAAGAUAUCUCCUUUGGAGUCUUGACUAAAUGUAUGCGAUAAAGAUCCAGAUUGUUGAACCUGUAUCAAUCUACUUAUCCAGGGCUUGAUACAAUUAAACAUGUCGGUUUCUGAAUCGUUA